rnacentral:rRNA from 1 species
UACAGAGGUCUCAAGCGUUGUUCGGAUUCAUUGGGCGUAAAGAGCUCGUAGGCGGCUUGUCGCGUCGGCUGUGAAAUCCCGUGGCUCAACUGCGGGUCUGCAGCCGAUACGGGCAGGCUAGAGUUCGGUAGGGGAGACUGGAAUUCCUGGUGUAGCGGUGAAAUGCGCAGAUAUCAGGAGGAACACCGGUGGCGAAAGCGGAUCCGCUGGGCCCGUCUA